rnacentral:rRNA from 1 species
AGUGAACGCUGGCGGUAGGCCUAACACAUGCAACUCGAACGGCAGCACAGUAAGAGCUUGCUCUUACGGGUGGCGAGUGGCGGACGGGUGAGGAAUAAAUCGGAAUCUACUUUUUCGUGGGGGAUAACGUAGGGAAACUUACGCUAAUACCGCAUACGACCUACGGGUGAAAGCAGGGGAUCUUCGGACCUUGCGCGAUUGAAUGAGCCGAUGUCGGAUUAGCUAGUUGGCGGGGUAAAGGCCCACCAAGGCGACGAUCCGUAGCUGGUCUGAGAGGAUGAUCAGCCACACUGGAACUGAGACACGGUCCAGACUCCUACGGGAGGCAGCAGUGGGGAAUAUUGGACAAUGGGCGCAAGCCUGAUCCAGCCAUACCGCGUGGGUGAAGAAGGCCUUCGGGUUGUAAAGCCCUUUUGUUGGGAAAGAAAAGCAGCAGGUUAAUACCCCGCUGUUCUGACGGUACCCAAAGAAUAAGCACCGGCUAACUUCGUG